UACGUAGGGUGCGAGCGUUGUCCGGAAUUAUUGGGCGUAAAGGGCUCGUAGGCGGUUUGUCGCGUCGGCUGUGAAAACCCGGGGCUCAACCCCGGGCCUGCAGCCGAUACGGGCAGACUAGAGUUCGGCAGGGGAGACUGGAAUUCCUGGUGUAGCGGUGAAACGCGCAGAUAUCAGGAGGAACACCGGUGGCGAAGGCGGUGGUCUGGGCCGGCACUGACGCUGAGGAGCGAAAGCGUGGGUAGCAAACAGG
rnacentral:rRNA from 1 species